rnacentral:hammerhead_ribozyme from 1 species
AUUUAAAGAUGAGUCCCAAAUAGGACGAAAAGCGCGUCCUAGAU